rnacentral:rRNA from 1 species
ACGGCUCAGUAACACGUGGACAAUCUAACCUACGGAAGGGGAUAACCCCGGGAAACUGGGGAUAAUACCCUAUAGACUAUGGAUGCUGGAAUGCUCUGUAGCUGAAAGGUCCGCCGCCGUAGGAUGGGUCUGCGGCCGAUUAGGUUGUUGUUGGGGUAACGGCCCAACAAGCCUGUAAUCGGUACGGGUUGUGGGAGCAAGAGCCCGGAGAUGGAUUCUGAGACACGAAUCCAGGCCCUACGGGGCGCAGCAGGCGCGAAAACUUUACAAUGCGGGAAACCGUGAUAAGGGAACUCUGAGUGCCCGUUAAAUCGGGCUGUCCAUCAGUUUAAAAAACUGGUGAAGAAAGGGCCGGGCAAGACCGGUGCCAGCCGCCGCGGUAAUACCGGCGGCUCGAGUGGUGGCCACUAUUACUGGGCUUAAAGCGUUCGUAGCUGGUUUGUUAAGUCUCUGGGGAAAUCUUCCGGCUUAACCGGAAGGCGUCUCAGGGAUACUGGCAGACUAGGGACCGGAAGAGGUGAGAGGUACUCCAGGGGUAGGAGUGAAAUCCUGUAAUCCUUGGGGGACCACCUGUGGCGAAGGCGUCUCACCAGGACGGCUCCGACAGUGAGGGACGAAAGCUGGGGGAGCAAACCGGAUUAGAUACCCGGGUAGUCCCAGCCGUAAACGAUGUGCGUUAGGUGUAUCGGUGACCACGAGUCACCGAGGUGCCGAAGAGAAAUCGUGAAACGUACCGCCUGGGAAGUACGGUCGCAAGGCUGAAACUUAAAGGAAUUGGCGGGGGAGCAC